rnacentral:rRNA from 1 species
CGGACGGGUGAGUAACACGUGGGUAACCUACCUAUAAGACUGGGACAACUUCGGGAAACCGGAGCUAAUACCGGAUAAGAUAUCGAACCGCAUGGUUCGAUAGUGAAAGAUGGUUCUGCUAUCACUUAUAGAUGGACCCGCGCCGUAUUAGCUAGUUGGUGAGGUAACGGCUCACCAAGGCAACGAUACGUAGCCGACCUGAGAGGGUGAUCGGCCACACUGGAACUGAGACACGGUCCAGACUCCUACGGGAGGCAGCAGUC